GAUCUAGCUCUUCCCAUUUGCCUGUAGGCAUCGAAUACGGAAACAACAGUGGUUAAACGCAUGAUUCUUUUGGCGGAUUGGAGCUCGCUAGAAGACAUCCCACUGAAGGGCACGAGGUGCCUACAUAUUGGAAGCUUCCUGGCUACAGCUGGCUUAUCACGAUCACGUACAUACAAGAGUUGUCACCACGAUUCUCCAUGUUAGUAUACUCUUAGAUAUAGUGUGUUUGCGUUGGCGAAAUGUGGUAAUUUGUUUUAAACGGCAUUUAUCUAUAUUGUACUCCUUUUAUUUUAUAUCCGCCUAUCAUCGAUUGUGCAUUAUCGCUCGAACGGUUCAAAGCUCUCAUUGUUAGUAGUGUCUUCUCUGUCAUAGUGUUUUAUAAUUAAUGGUUAAUUAAAUAAGUGUUAUAUUACAAUAUAAAGAGCCACCAGCCACGAUAAUGUAAGAAAUGAUAAAGAGCUUAUAAAUUCUAUUUUGCCGAACUAAGUAUUGUUAUACUGUCAACAUUCGCACACAACGUUUUUUACAGAUAUACGUUUAGGAAAUUAUAGUUUCAAGAUUUAUCAACAGUUUUAUUUUAUUCUAAAAAUUCGAGAAGUUGAAAUCGAUUUCCUUAGGGGAGAACGGGUGAACUUCUCGAAAUCACAAGAAUUAAAUAUUUUAAUAAAUUAUACCGAAAGUAAGUUUACUUUAUGCUUACACCCGAGAGUUUAAGCCAGAAAUUUGUAUAUAUUACAUUAAUAAGUUGGAUGAACAUUCGCUUAAUAAUUCUAGACCUCCUUUAGGUGAGUGCAAUUCCCCCGCUUUCCCCUUCUUUAUAAAAAAGGCGAAAAUAAGCGAAUACCUAAUUGCUUCUUUCUACCUUCAGUGAUAUUUUUAACACAGAGCGCAUAGCCGUACGGUUAUUUGUGCUUGACAUAUUAUUAAUUAUGAUGUUAUAAAAAACAGCAAAGAAAAGCGAAUUUAAACGACGAUGCGCUCAUUAGGAAAAUCAAAUUUCUACUUAAUAAUUUAUAAUAUAGAUAGGGUUUACAUAGCAAUUUGCUCAUGUUAGUCACUCACUAACGUUAUUAGAUUUUCAUUGAAAACGGAAAGUAACGUGCUUGACCUAUUUAUACACAAAAGUAUACUUGCAUGAAGACAAUUUUCAAGUAAAUAUUGCUGUGGAAUGCGUGGUCAAAAUACCCACGAACCUAAUAACACUGGGAUGUAACGGCAAACUAGGUAGUUUUAUUAAUUUUUAACCUGCAGAAUAUAGUAAAAAACAUGAAGCGAAAUUUACUGCUAUGUGGUAGUAAAGUUUGCCUGCUUCAAGGUAAAAAUUUCUGUGAUUUCUGGGAAAAAAGAAUAAAAACUGUACUAACGGGACAAAGCGGACAGGACAGUAGACGUGAUUGUUUCAGGUUAGCUAGUACUUGGGGCCUUGAUGACACCUGCGCGCUGCUACGAACCAAAGUUUUGCAAUUGUGAUCGAUCGUUUACCGCUACAUCUAGUUAAAAUUUAUACGACUCCGCAGGAACAUUUGUGUGAAAUCUAGCAAAUUCUCUGUUGCUUUGCAGCGUCAACCUAAAAUACUGUUCUACGGAAGUGGAAUAAAAACAUGGAAAAUAAUUAUCAAUGCGAGCGAGUUUAUUGCGAGGACUAAAUGUAUUAACGAUUUCUCUUUGACUUUGACUUAGCUUUCGAUGAAUUUGUAAACACGACGUUAGCGAAGAAAAGCGAACAGUAUAUCUGAAUAAUAGUGUAAGUGGCAAAGUAUAAUUUCGACGCAUAAAAAUAAUAUACAACAUCUAA